rnacentral:rRNA from 1 species
UACGUAGGGGGCGAGCGUUGUCCGGAGUUACUGGGCGUAAAGGGCACGCAGGCGGUCAUGUAAGUCUGUUCUGACAGCUCCCGGCUCAACCGGGAGAGGCGAACGGAAACUGUAUGACUUGAGGACUCAGAGGGACACGGAAUCCGGGUGGAGUGGUGAAAUGCGUAGAGAUCCGGAGGAACACCAAAGGCGAAGGCAGUGUCCUGGGAAGUACCUGACGCUCAGGUGCGAAAGCCAGGGGAGCGAACGGG